rnacentral:tRNA from 1 species
CGGGAAGUGGCGCAGCCUGGCUAGCGUACCUGCUUUGGGAGCAGGGGGUCGUGGGUUCGAAUCCCACCUUCCCGACCA